GCUAAUACCGGAUAACAACAGAUGAUGCCUAUCAACUGUUUAAAAGAUGGUUCUGCUAUCACUCUUGGAUGGACCUGCGGUGCAUUAGCUAGUUGGUAGGGUAACGGCCUACCAAGGCGAUGAUGCAUAGCCGAGUUGAGAGACUGAUCGGCCACAUUGGGACUGAGACACGGCCCAAACUCCUACGGGAGGCAGCAGAG
rnacentral:rRNA from 1 species